AUCAACAGGCAGAAGGGCAACAAAUUGUUACUUUUUGUUACAUGUGAUUGUAAAUUGUGAUCUUUAUAGUUAAGAUAUAUCGUAGACUAAUUAAUCUUGUGAUUUUGAUGGUCACAGAUUGUAACAGUUGAAUUAUAAAGCUAAUGGACCGUUUACCAAAUAUGCUUCCAUUAAGCGGUGGUUUCCUGCCGUAACAUGGUUUGACUAUGGUUGACAAGGCUAUUAAUGUCACCAUGAAGUAGAUUAAGAACAUUUCUCUGUUGCAAUAUUUUCGGAUGACCACGGAGAUUGUUUGGUGUUCACAGUGAUUUGUUGAACUCGUUGUUAAAUUUAUCGCAACUUCGAUUGUUGGGUGAUGGUGAUCAAUUUAUCAACAGUUAUCUUCAACUUUAUGCAAAAAAACAAACAAAAUAAUGAAUGGUUUAGCGUAUUGAUGGCGUUUUUAUCUCAACGAUAUAUUUUGCAAAUCAAACUGGACUUAGUGGACACUUGAUUACAAAUUCAUACUGAAUAAAAGCCAAGCCAAUUAAUAGCCUUUUAUAUCUUGAUCAUGCCUCCCACAGAUAAUACCUAGGAGGAUAAAUUAAAGAAAAAAGACAGAGGAAAAAGGGAGUCAGAGAUUCAAGAUGAAAAAAGAGGAGGAUGGUGAUGAGAUGAGGUAUCAAGAUGAAGCUGAUAAUAAGCAUCAUUUUUAUAGAGGAUGAUCAUUUCUGGAGUUAAUUUUUAUUAACAAGAAAUUCUAUCCUCGACGGUAUUUCCUUACUGAUUAAUUUUAACCAAUAAAACCAAGAUAACCGCAAAUUUGGCUAUCCAGGCAAUGUAACAACCAAAGUUAAGAUGAAUGGACGAUGAUCACAAAUGAAGAACAAUAGGAGAAGACAAUAAUUGAUUUAUUUUACAUUAUGUUGAUUAAGUUGGGAAGGAUACCGAGGUUAUGGCUACUUAUUUGAUUAGUCUACGCCAUUUUGAAAAAACAUGCAUUGGUUUAGUCUCAGUGUCAAUCUUUUCAUCAAAUAUAUCUUCAACAUAAUUGUUUUGGGCUUCUCAUCCUUGAUCAGCUAUUUGGAUUCCAUCUUGAUUUAAUCAACAAUAUAUCAACUCAAUUAAUAACUCUUUCCAUGGAUCAGCUCAUAUUCAUUUAUCUCCUUUUUUCAUGCCAUUCUGCAACCUUUAAAUCAACUAUCGAGGACAACCGAAUAGGGAUUUGCUAUGGUCAAGUUUGUUCAAUAAGAGUUACUAUGGAGGCUAUAAUGGCGAUGAGAUGCAUCACGUAGCAAAGGAUACUUUGAUAUUUUACAAAAUUUUAUUCAAUGUUCUCGACCUGUCUUUUUUCAUCAUUCAUUUACGUUAUUUUUUCAAAGCUAGCGGUGAUCGACCUUUGAUUAUAUUCACAUUGUGGAGUUGCCGAGGAAUCUCACGUUUUCAUUUCUUUCUUCUCAUUCGGUUCUCCUUGGUAUUUAAUUGCUUGACCAAUUCACAAAUUAAUUCAUUGAUCUAAUCAUUGUGAUGUCACAUUUCAAUGUUAAACUUUAAAGAUUGUCUUUUCCUUGCCAACUUCAUUUUAUUCGCAUUCAAAGAUAAUGAUGAUAAAGUUCGGACAACACAUUCACUUUUCUUUACUGACUGAUUAACAUUCAGACUGUUUCAAAUAACGCUUUUGUACAUUACUGGAUUUAGUAAUUGCUUGUGCAAUGGAAAAGAUUUGAUAAAAUCUAAUGAAUCAUUUCAAGGUUGAAUAAAUAUCCACCAAGCUUA